rnacentral:sRNA from 1 species
AGACAAUUGGUAGAUUUCAAGUAAUCAAGCAAUCAAAGGUGGUGAAUCUUCCGAAAGAGGGCAAAGAAAUUGCAUUCGAGGAUCAAUAGUCGGAGUACUCCAAAAUUCAUACUACUGAUACAGCUCAAGAUAGUCGGUAAAUGGCUCAUUUCGUUGAGGGCUA